GCAAAAUUAAAUUACUUGAUUGUGGGUUGGAACAAAAAACUGCAUGUUAAACAACAUAAACAUUUGCUGAGACCAUGGCAGUCUGAGGAUGCUGUGCUUGUUGGAGAUUUCAAUAAGCAUGUAUUAUGCAAGUUAGAGGAACUUGUCACAAGGAAUAGAUGGCAGAGAGGUUUAUUUAUAUUAGAAUUUGAAUGCAUCAAGAGGGCGUGGUCAGCUUUCAAAGGCGGUGGUGAUAGGAAAGUGCUUGUAUGGUGCAGCAGCAACAGCUAAGUCUAUUGGGAGAAGGUGCAGGAAAAUAGAGGAAAAAAAUAAACAUCAAGAAAUAGUCUCUUUCUUUGUAAAAUGGAUAUUAGCAGUCUUUUUUUUUUAAUUAGAAAAGGUGGACCAGGCUAGCCUGCCUUAAUUUUCUUUUCUUUUUUUUGUCUUAUGUGUCAGGAUUUUGUUGAUAUUUAUAAAUAAUAGUGACAUUUUCUUUGUUAUGGCGCAGCCUGAAGUUUCUCGGAAAGGAGAGUGAUAGUGGGCUGCCAAUUCUUUUUCCUUUGCGAUUUCCAAGCAGUGGUUGAGUGGUCAUCCCAUUUUAUGAUACGAUGUGAAAAUUUCGGAGCUACCCACAAGUUAAGAAAAGCUCAGUCGGUCAAUCAAUGGAAAGUUGGAUCAAAAGGGGAAGAAAAAUAAAAUUAAACUAAAUGGAAACUUAUGGAAAACGUUCACCUGCAAUUGUUUUUCUUUUCUUGUUAUUGUGGGGGGAAGGGAGAGGGAAUCAUACAUAUACUAGUCUUCACAGCCUGCUCUUCUUAUAUUACAUAUUUCUGUUGUGUUUUUCUUUCUCACGCGUGUUCUUACUUGAGAGAAGGGAACCAUAUCCCUUUCUUUUCUUUAUUCCUUUUCAGGGUCAAUAUUAUUUACUUACCCAAGUUUGAUUU